AAUUCUCAACUCUGAUUUGAUUUGUUUCUAAUCAGAGCUUGGACUUGGAGUGUGCUGGCGUCUAGUCGGCUCCUCUCAAAUGCAUCAGCGGAAUCUAACCUUUGGUUUCCAGAUGUCGGUGUGAUAAUAAAGUUGAGCUGUCGUUUGACUUCAAAGUCCGCUUACAAUGGUCUUCGGACGAACUCUUUUAUCAA
rnacentral:misc_RNA from 1 species